AAUCAGCUGUUAUUAUUGUUAUUCAUCAUUUUAUAAAUGAGGAAACCAAAGCACUGAACAGUUAAAUGGCUUAUCUAGUGUCACACUCCUAGUAAGAGUGACUCUUCCCUUGAUUAAUCUGUUUCAAUCUUACCUGUUUCUCUCCUCUCCUUUGAACUCUUUGCAACAGGCCAAUUGCACUAUUUAUCUAUCUAUGUGUGGAACACAGAAGGUGCUCAAUGUGUGUAUUUGUAAAAUAGACUAGUCUAAACUAGAUUGGCAUUUCAACUCUCAGAAUUUCUCUUAAAGAAUCUUACCAUUCAUUGGGCUGGCGAUGUGGCUCAAGCGGUAGCGCGCUCGCCUGGCAUGCGUGCGGCCCAGGUUCGAUCCUCAGCACCACAUACAAACAAAGAGGUUGUGUCCGCCUAAAACUAAAAAAUAAAUAAAUAUUUAAAAAUUCUCUCUCUCUUUAAAAAAAAAAAGAAUCUUACCAUUCAAAUGCCAUAUUUCAUCAGAACCACAUAAUUCAUUACUAUCAAUAUAGUUCUCUCAUAUCAAUAUAAUUAUGUUAUUAACUUCAAUAUAUUAAAACUGCAUUUGUAAGUCCUAUAAAUGAAAUAAUUGAGAGUUGUCUUGGGAAAUAUAAUAGAGAGGAAAAGAAUGAAUAUUUUAUUGUUAAUCUACUCGGGUUAAUUCCAUUCUAUUAGUUAUAUAUUGCUACAUGACAAAUUAGCCCAAAACUUAGCAGCUUAAAAUAACAAUCACAUUUUACAGUCUGGAGAUCAGCUUAGCUAGGUCCCUGGGCUUCUGGGCUCUCGGGAAGUUGUGAUCAAGGUCUAGGCUGGAGUUAUAGUUACUUGUGGGCUGGACUAGGUUAUGAUUCCCAUCCAGGCUCAGUUCCGUGACUGCAGGCAGGCCUCAGGUCCUUGCUGGCUGUUGGUUAGAGGCCUUAGCUUUGGGUUUUGUUUUUGGUUUUUUUCCUCACAAGGUUUUCUCCUUUGGGCAUUCAUAUGUGGCAGGAGGCCUUCCUCAGAGCAGGAGAGCCAAGAGAGGGCAAGAAAGGGCAUGUCAGCAAAAGCCAUAGCUUCUCUGAAACUUAAUCUUGGAAGUGACAGCCCAUCAUUCUUGGCUUCCAUUCAAUAGAAGAGUGUCACAGGGUUCAGCCUAUACUCAAGAGGACAGGGUUAUACCAGAUGGUGAACACUAGGCAGCCAGAAUCAUCAGGUCAUCUUAAAGCUACCUGCCUUCAUAUUAAAUGUUAUUGUUCAACUACAGAGUAAAUCAAAAGAAAUAAAAUUCCGACAGAAUGAUCCCUGCCUUGUUCAGAUUUUUUUAAGGGAAAAGUUACAGAAACUCAAUUCAAAGUCACUUUAGCAGGGAAAAAAAAAUAUUUAAAAGUUCCCAGGGUUGUCCUGAAAACUAGGUCCAGCAAAUUUCUGUUCUGUGGUCCUUUUGACACUCAACUCUUCUUUCUAACUAGUUUUGCAUGGAUUCUAUCAACCUGUCUUGUGCUCCAUGGUAACCCAUAAAGUCAGGAGGAAAGGAAAUGACCCAAUUGACCAGAUCUGGGUCACUUUCUCACCCCUGGAACCUGGGAGAACGUGACAGGAGUAAGAUAUCAAAGUCAUAUGAACUGAAUGUAGAGGAAAGAAAAAUUGAGGUGCUGUUAUCACAAUAAGGAGCAUUGGCAGAUGGGAAAGCAAAUCACUUAGGACCCCUGCUCCUAUCUGUCCCUUUGUGCCUUUACCUGUUCUGUCUCAUGUGGUUUACUAUGUUUUUUAUUUCAUUUGGCCUGUUACAACUGAGUGUCUUAUAAACAGCAAGAAUUUUAUUUCUCAGAAUUCUAGAGCUGGGAAAGUUCAAGAUGAAGGUGUUGGGUGAUUUGUUAUAUGGUGAGGUCCUGUUCCUUACAGAUAUCACCUCCUACACCUCUUCCUAGGGGCAAUUUCCAUUGGUGGGAGGGACAAGGCGGCUCUCCGAGGCCUCUUGUAAAUGAUCAUUGAUGAGAACUUCACUCUCAUGAGCUAAUCACACAUACACACACCCAGAAGCCUCAUUUUUUUCCCACACUUUCACCUUGGAGUUAAAUUUCCCCAUACAAGUUCAGGGUGGGGGCACAGACAUUUAAACCAUAGCUAUGGUAGGUAUACAAGAUGAUGUACCUUGUCUUGUUUGUAGGAAUACAAAGGGAACUACAUUUCUCAAGAGUUCAUGCUAAACAACUGCUUAAAAUCAAUAACAAAAGGUAAACCACAGUUUUGCAAGACAGUUGUGUCUUAUAGAAUCAAAAGGCCUCCUACACAUUUUUGUGUCCUCUUUCAGUAUUAGUAGAGCACAUACUAAUAUGUAGAGCAUAGCCAUCUAACUAGAGUUUCAGCCUGAUAACAAAGCUUUAUUAGUGUGUUGACUUACAGAAAACACAAGUGUGUGUGCACAGAUAGUAAUUGGGAUCAGCUGGGGCCAUUUAGGGGUCAAAUACCAAGUAUCCAAGGUCACUCUUGUGUAAAAUUGAACCUAAUAAGCUGCAGUCCCUGCUUUAUAGCAGCUUAUUUGUCAUUGCUUUUUCAUUGGUUGUAUUCCUCCCCACACUUUUGAGUAUCUAAAAAAUGAGACCUAGGGAUUUGGCCAUAGCUUUUUAUCUAGAGAGAAAAUAGAAUGGUUGGACAGCUAUUGUGAUUAAAUUAAGUUAAAUGAGGUCGAUUGCAAAACCCCAAAUCAUUUGUCAGACCUUGGUGCAGUUUUCCACCACGCUGCAGUCUCUUGUAAACUGGGCCCUGCUCAGAAUAACAGUCUUCGCCUGAAGCCUCUUGACUCCUCCUCUUCCCUGUCCUGCGAGGACCCCUGGGAGUCAGUGUGUCCCAUGGCUCUCACCACUCUCCUUCCAGCUGUAGCACUUUGCAGACAGGAUAUUUGGUGGAGACGCUGUUCCAUCAACUUUGCUUUCUUGCGUGUUUGUCACUAGACAUUGUGAGGAAGUGGAGAUGCUGAGAAAAACAGAACACAGGCCAUGUCUGAGGAUGUGAUAAGAGAUGAAUGACAUCUGGCCUGGGAUCAGGGAGGAGAAGAAAGAAGCAGAUUUACUAGUCCUGGAUCAAGUGGCCACAGAGGUGAAUUUGCCUUCUGAAACUGUUCGUUGUUCUCCUGCUGCCCACCUGUUGCCACAUGGCUCACAUGGUGCCCUGCCAUCCAGGUCUGCCCAUAAUAAAAUACUUAUGGUCUUCAUGUAUUUCAAGUGUUCUACCACGAUGCAAGUUCAAAAUCCACCAUCCUCUAUCUAUCUAUGUACUCAUUCAUUCCCCGGAUUUUGGUUUUCUCUAUCUCCAUCCCCAAAUCUCAGCCUUCCUCACCUUCUUCAUCCUUAUCCCAAUCAAAAAGGUAUGCUAAUAAUGACAUAGAAUUAUUUGCUAACCAAAUGGCUUUCUUCUUAAAAUUCACAUAGGGUAUAUGCCUAUCUGGUAAUUUAGGUCAUUAUGGUUUCUUUUUUAAUUUUUAAAUUUUUAUUUGUUCUAAUUAAUGAUAAUGUCAGUAUAAUGCAUUUUGACACAUCAUACAUAAAUGGAGUAUAACUUCUCAUUCUUCUGGUUGUACAUGAGGUGGAGUUUACAGGUCGUGUAAUCAUAUAUGCACAUAGGGUAAUAAAGUCUGAUUCAUUCUAUCAUUCCUAAUCCCAUACCCCCUCCCCUCCCUUCAUUUUCUCUGUCUAAUCCAAAGUACCUCAUUUCUUCCAUUGGACCCCCCCCCUUAUUAUGAAUUAGCAUCCACAUAUCAGAGAAAACAUUUGGCCUUUAGUUUUUUGGGAUUGGUUUAAUGUUUUGCUUUUGGUUUUGUUUGUUGCUUGCUUUCGCUUAUUAACCCCAAUGAAUCUGUAAAUGAUGAGAUUUCAGGCAGAGUAAGACAGUUUGGGACUGGGUCACUUUUACUAAAUUUUGUUAAGGGUACUCUACAUAGAUAUGAGGACACUUAAUAGAUAUGGGAAACUUGGCAGCCUCUUUUGACAGAAACAUUUCUAUCUCCUCCACUUUUCUUCUUCAACCACUUUUCAAAUUUCUUCUACUUUUCUUUUUCAUAUCCAGCUCCUUAUUUGGAAUUUGAGGCCUAGGCUAACUUAGUAGAAUGUUAAAUCGUCAGUGUAAGUUAAUGGAGUUAUAAAAUUUGGUUGAAUUAUCAAUCACCAGGCAUGAUAGUCAAAAGAACCAGAACCUGGCAGGUAGGGGUAGUCCUAGUGUACCCAGAGUUGGUCCAACCUUUCUGGCAGCAUAUUCUCUUCUUCAGGGAGAUAGAGGCAACAAGCACUGCUAGAGAAGGAUGGAGAACACAUAAAAGGCACAUAUGGCCUGAUGAAAUAACAGAAGGUCCUUACGCCAGCCAAGAGGACCCUUCACAGGGAAAUAUCAAAGGGGAGGUGGGAGGUCCAGUGGUGCUAUCAUAUGCAACCAAAUAAAUUGCUUUGUGUUGCCUUUAAAAGCAAAGCUGUGACCAAUGAGUAGGAAAGAACUUUUAUUUCUUUUUUUAAAGCAAUAACAUGUCUUUACUGUGACCCCCUACUUGUGAUGCUAGAGAAGGAACAUAUGCAAGGAGACCCAUGAUGGAAAACAGCUCAUAUAUUAUGUGUGAACUCUGGCCAGCUGGUGGAAUCUGAUUAUAUAGUGUUGUCAUUAUGACCAGGGACACUGGAGGAAAAUGAACCUGGCUUUGACUGCCCCUUGAAACUGUGUGACUUCAUCUCUAAUUCUCUAAAAGGGGAAUAAUAAUUGACCUCUCUUAAGAUGUUGUGAGGCUAUAAAAUGAGGUGAUGCAUUCAAAGUGGUUAGUACAGCAUCUUGCACAUACUAGUUGAUCGAUGUUAUUUUGGGAAAGUCUGAGGUCAGGGGAAUCUGUGUUUGGAAGGCAAGCGGGCUUUUAUCAGUUAAUGAUGUGAGUCAAAGUGUGCUAUGUAUUCAUCAUCUUUGGAGGAUGGUUGAAUUAAACAAUCAUUUAUGCUCAAUCUGAUUUUUUAUGUUAACAGUUAUUUACUUAAAAUAUAAAUGAGGAAGUAUUGACUUCAACAAGGGGCUUUUCCCUUCUAUUUUUUCCCUUUGGUCUCUCUAUUCCUACCUACCUGUAAGUUCAAAAUUAUGACAAUGUUGUAAGAAGUAAACACCAUUUCUGUUCUACUGUCCUAUUAACCUUGAUGGUCUUGCACCAUGAAUGAAUUGAAAGAAAGUGCACUUUGCAAUGCAUAAUGAAUGAACCUGCACUUCUUAAAUGUCUCAGUUCUACUAUGAAUUGGAUAUUUAGAAAAAAUGUGAGGAAAUCAAACCCUAAAAUAGGCUGUCGUUUGCCAAGUCAAAUAUGCUUCAUCUGAAUGAGUUUUCUUCUACUUGCAUCGAACUCAAAAUAGUGUUUUUCUAGCACUUGGGGGUAGGAAUGGUUACUUAGAUUCUUGGGGACCUAAUCUUAAAUAUCCAUGGAUACUUAAGAAGAAAACUUGAAAUUUAUGUGUUGACCAUUAAUCUUUAGCCUAACUUACUAUAUAUUGUUAAGAACAUUACCAAGGAAAUAGAUCAUUAAAAGAGGUUCUGUUUGGAAGGUCAUCUCUCUGGGUGUUGAAUAACUCUUGGAUCUCAAAACUCAGUCACUUCACUGAUAGGUAACUGCCAAGAGGAAAACGUUUCUGCCUGUUGAAGACAGCAUUGGUCCAAUGGAUGUAUUUUCCUCAGAUAUAAAUAAGUGAAAACAGCUGGAUUAUAACCUGGAAACAAAGUUACUCAGGGUUUUUUACUUGUGACAUUUUAACUACCAAGAAAUAAUACAUCUGUGUACUAAUUAACUCCAGCUUAGAAACAUGGCAAAAAAUACUAUUAAUUCAAGGAAGCAAUAUUGCCCAUUGGUUAAAUUCUUAUACUCUAGAGUAAGAACUAAUUGGAAUCCUGGCAUCUCUACUUAAUUAAUAUUUAACCUUGUCAAAGUAUAUUAACUUUUCUAGUCAUCUCUGGUUUCACCCUGUAUAAAAUGUGUGUAAGUGUUAGUUAGACCUGUUGUCUCUCCUGGAGAUCAGAUCAGAUCAUUAGAAAUGACUUAUCACAGAGAUUGCUACUAGGUAAGCAGAUAACUAUUAUUAGUCAGAGGAAAAAAAAAAUGGUUUCCAUGUCAAGAUGCCUAGAAUCUGAUCCCAGCUUUAAUACUAUCUAGCUGUGUAAUUCUGGACUAAUUCAGGAUUCUCUGGACCUUAGAUCCUUAACUGAAGGUGAAAAAAAAUGAUUAGAAGAUUUUGAAUAUUACUUCCAACUCUAAAAUACUAUCCUGUUUAGCAGAAGCAUUGAAAAAUCCCAACUAAAAAAAGAAAGAUUCCAGGAUUUCUAACUGCUAAAUAUUUCAGCCUUUACUUAAACAUUCCCCUUGUAUGAGAAACACCUUUUGUUUUUCCCCACCUCUAUUUCCCUAGGAAUUUCAUUACCCCCAGUUCCAGGGAAAGGUGUUAAGGAGAAAAUUAGCACCUCCUUGCUACUGUUUAAACACUUAACUGUCCUUAAUUGCUCUCUUUAAAAUAUCUCUGUCUUCAUGACCUCACAAAUCCUGUCUUAAUGAGAUUCUUAAAAUCUGUUUACCAAACACAAAUUUAUCUAACAUUUAUAAAGAAAAGUGCACAAAUUCUGAAUGUACCACAUGAUGAAUCUUUAAGAAGAGAACGCAUCUUUGUAAAUCAAGAAGUGGAUCAUCACCAGAACCUCACAAUUCCCAGCCUGCCUAUUCCAGUCACUAACUCGCCUGGAGAUUUUGUGGGACAAGAAUUUAGAUGGAGGGCAACAGAGAUAGCACGUCUGCUCCCCGCUGUCUGGGGCCUCAGCUUGUCAUUGGCUUGGACUUCACUCAACUGUCAACUAGAGUAACUACACGUGGCUUCUCCCCUGGGCUAGUGUGGGCUUCCUCACAACACAGCAGCUGGGUUUCAGGAGGGAGCAGUCCAAGAGGGCAAGAUGCAAGGGGACAGCACAUGAGCCUCAUCAUUCCAUGGGAGAAGCGUCAAGAUCACAUCGUAAAAAAAACGACUAGAAUGGGAGGUAUUGUGAGAUGUAUUUUUGGAUCCCACUUUUAUCUGGAUUUUUCUCUUUCUUUUAUGACUACUGUUCCUGUCCUACCCAAUUUGAUCUUACUGCCGUAGUUUCUUUUUUACUUUGGGGUUCUGUUCUGGACAGGAGCUGUGGCUGAUCAAAUUCAAAAGUUAACAGGGACUGGAUGGCUCUGUACUGUUUGGGCCUUGCCAUGAGCCCUUAGCCCUCCCAGGCUUUUGGAGUUUGGCAACUGUAGCCACAUGAUCCAGUUGGCUUGCAAUACUCUGUAGUGUUGGCUCUUUGGGAAUUCUGCUGUUCUCAGACACCUCUUUACUUCUCCCUGCUUCCUGUUGUAUAGAUGUUGGUAUUGUCUUUCUUAGUGGCUUGUCCUUACUUGUUUGUCGUUUAGAGUUUGUGAGAUACAUUGCCUCUUAGUUUGGUGUAAAAGUUGGCCAUAGGGUUUUGAUUGCAUUGCUCUCUCUGUUUUUUAGGUGGGGAGUUGGGAAGACCCAAAUUAUGACCCCACUGUCAUCACCAUGUUAUCUGAAUUCACCAGGAGUAUCCUUUUAAGAAUAUGAAUCCCUUCGUGUUCCUGCUGCUUGCACACACGAGUGGCAUCCCACUGCAACACUUUACCUUGAGCACUGGGCACAUGGGGAUUCCAGUCUGCUCCUCUGCCCUAGCAGACCAUUCCCUACCCCAUCACUGCACUCCCCAUACUAAGCUCUCUAUUCCUCGAGAGGAGCUCCAAGUUUGCCUGAGGGCCUUUGCACAGGCCUGGCUGAAUAUUUCUUCCUAUGCAAAUUUUAAAAUAUAUAUAUAUAUAUUUAGUUUUUGAUUGUAGUUGGACAUAAAACCUUUAUUUUAUCUAUUUAUUUUGAUGUGGUGCUGAAGAUCAAACCCAGGGGUCACACGUGCUAGGCAAGCGUUCUACUGCUGAGCCACAAUCUCAGCCCUCCUAUGCAAACAUUUUAACUGCCCUGUCCUCAAACAGAUACUUAAUUUCUUGUCAUAGUGGCUCUCCAAUCAUAUGCUCUCCAACCACAAACAUGUGGUUCCAUUUUAUUUUCACCACUGCACUUAUUGUUAGAUGAUAUCAUUUAUGUUUGUUUAUUGGGUCCCCUACAACAAACACUAACAUGUAAGGAAUCUCUUUAAACACUGUGUUCCUGGUGUCUGGCACUCAGGAGAUGUGGAAUCAGUGAGUGUUUGAGAAGUGAGUAACCAGCGUAGGUUCCCUGAUACAUACUAUCAUUAUAAUCUCUAAGCUGCUUUGUCUUGUGGAUCUUCAUUUACUAAAAAGCCUUUUUAUCUCUAAUAUUCUUGGAUAUAGUAAACCUGUGACAUUCAUGAGGAACAUGCCUACGGGGACUUCUUCUAUCCACAGAGUCACAAAUAUAACGUAACACUUCCUCCAUAAAGUGCAGUAAGUGUAACUGAAAAAUUUAAGUGGCCUCUUAAUGUUUCUUUGAAUACAGAACUAAAAUCAUUUCUAAAGCCAUUAAAAUACAUUCAGCCACUAAAAUAAAUGCUACAGUACAUUACACAAGGUUUUUAUUUUCAAGAGGUUCUUAUUAUUCCCCUCAGUGCCCUAUGGUUUGGCAAAUAGGAAAGUCCAGCUUAAUUUGAACACUUGCCAUAUUGACCUAGAGUAGAAAAGACUAACUGUCCUUGGGUAGCUUAAAUCAUAUUUCACCUUUUCAUUGGGAAAUUAUCUGUUAACAAAGGAAUAUUUCUAUACAGCAUUACUUUCUUGGUUGAAAAGGUUUUCUGGUUCCUCUGCUUAGGGAGAAUGCUUCUGAAGUUGUGUGAACAGCCCAUGCGCCUUGCUGUCAAUCUCCCCUCUUCCUCACAGUCUCAAGCAGAGACUGACUGGUCAGAGGUGAGAUUAAUUCAGGCUCUGCCCUCCCAUUUUGAUCACCUGUCACAUCUGGACAAUGUUGGCACAAGCUCCACAGCUUCCAGUGGACUCUCAUGUCCCUUUCUUGUUCCUUUGAAAGUUUUCACAGCUGAGCAACUUUGUUACCUUUAUAAAAAACUAUUUACCUAUAGAAUUUUGGUGUCAUAGACUGGAGUGCCUCUAACUCUGCAUUGAAAAACUAAUCUUUUAUUCCUUCACUUAACUCCAGUUUAUAUUUUUAUUGCAAGAUUUGUGUCUUUAUUGGGUGUUUUACUUUCUUUUCCUUUCUCAUAAGCAACACAACAUGCACAGCAUGCAGAAGACACCACUCUCCUGCUGAGCACUCAUAGUUUUUGACUAGUUUUAUAAAUUGUUUCCUCAGAAAAAUAUUCCAGAACUUUAGUGGACAUUUUAUGUUCUACCUUUGUGUUCCAAGCACCUUAAAUAUAUUUAUCUCAUUUAAUUUAUACUACACUCCUGUAGGAGAUGAGGAUUAAAUAGAUGAUCAUAUCCCCAUAUUACUAGCACAGGAAACUAAGGCUCAGAGAAGUAAAAGCAAAAUUGACUUCUAUCCUAGAUCUGCCUAACUUCAAAAUCUCUUGGCCAUCUCUCUCUCUCUGUAAUAUUAUUUUUUCAAGGAGAUAUAUAUAUUUAAAAUGUGGGUCCUAUAAAAUAUGAAUAUAUAUGUAUGAAAAUAAAAUAUGAGACCCACAUUUUAAAUAGUCAAAUGAUCCAGGUGAAAUUAACUUUAAUUACAUGUCUUAUACCAUAUAUCAAAAUAGCAAUGAUUGCAGUCUGCAACAAGAGAAGAUCAUUAAUGGGCCAUUUUCCUUUCUUUUGCACAAUUCUGGAAUAAAAUUUGGUCUAUAUUUGACAUUUACAGGCAUUUCAAUGUGAUUUAACCAUAUUUCAAGUGUUCAUUACCUAUGAGUGGCCAGAGGCUACUUCAUUGGAUUUCAGGGAGAGAGGAGGGGAGGGGUGGGAGGACAAGAGAGAGAGAAAGUAACCCCUGUACUUCUGAUUCUCAUUCUCAUUUCCUCAGUCUUCCUUCUCAAAGCAAAAUGCAAUUUCUUAUGUGAUUUUCAGUUAUUCUACAAUGAUUCUAUAUUGGAUGUAUUUUUACUUACCUUUUUAUACAAAUAGAGACAUACUGUACACAUAUUUUAUUGUUUUUUAUUUAACACUGUACCUCAGAGAGUCCAUUCCUAGUACUGUGUUUGUGUAGGUAUGUAUGGGUGCAUUGGGUUAUGUAGGUUGUGUGCAUCUAUGUGUGUGUUCCAUUUUGUUCAACAAAUAUUUAUUGAUGACCUCAUUUGUGCAUAUACUUUUCUAGGGACUUGGUUAUAAAAUUCAUAAAUGCCCUGGCCUUCGUAGAGUCCAUGCUUUAGAGAAGAGAGACAGUCAACAUCUAUGUAAGUUACAUAGUCUGAUGGACGAUCAUAAGUACUAUGAAUGAGAAGGAGGAGAAAAACAUGCAUUGGGGGCAGUUUUUAUAGAGAAUAAGGUGCUCAGGAAGACCUCAUCAGGCAGGUGAGAUCCUCUCCCUGUCCUGUGGGAGGCAGGGGGUUACCCAUGGGAGAGGAGCGUUCCAGGCAGGAGAAAGGAGUGUGAAAACUAAGAUGGGAGGGUGCCUGGCACACUAGAGGAGCAGAGGGCCUGUAUAGCUGAGUGUAGGGAGACAGGGAGCAUCUGAGUGAACAAGUCAGCGAGGGAGGGUCAGGGCUUUUGCUGGGCUUUGCCGUCUUCUGUAAUAACUAGACUUUCACUAUAAACACAGGCGUCUGCUAUGUUCUCAUCAGCAGCCAGGAACUUUUCCCUCUGUGGAUGUAUCUUACUUUAUUUACCAGUCUCCCAUUGAGAUGAAUACCUAGGUUGUUUCAGACAUGUUUUAAUUAUGAACGAUGGGACAGUAGAUAUCUUUGAAUCUACAUGGCUUUGCACACGUAUUGACUUACAUAUAGGAUGGAUUCCUAGUUGUGGAAUAACUGGAUGAAGGAAUUCUUAUUUCUAAUUUUCUUAGAUAUUGCCAAAUGGCCCUAAAAAGAGGUUAAGCAAAUUUCCAUUUUCAAUGUGUGAUAGCAAUUUUUUUUCCCUGUUACUGCUAUAGUAAUUAAGGGACAGUAUAAUUUUUGCCAAUCCUAUAAGUAAAAGUGUUCUCUUAUUGGCAGCACUUUUGAGCAAUCCCUCUCCACUCUAAUUCACAUAAUAAAUGUAGACUCUACCCCACACUCCUCUCUUCUUGGGGCUCCCACAUGGGUUGGCACUUUACAUCUAGAGCAGUAUAUAUAUUGUUUUUCCUUUUUAAAUUUGUUUUCACAGUAACCUUUAUUCUAUGUAUUUAUUUUUAUGUGGGGCUGAGGAUUGAACCCAGGGCCACACACAUGCUAGGCAAGUGCUCUACCACUGAGCCUCAGCCCAAGCCCUAUUGCUUUAACUGUUCAUGUCUUCAUGUCUCAAGAGCAGGGUUAAUUUCCUAUUUCUUAUACCCUUGCCACUGACUAGAACUUUGCUUAACACAUAAUAAACAGUUAUUAUUACAUUUUUUGCCAAUUGACAAGUAAAUGACUUAAUUCUGUUUUAAUUAUGCUAUAUAAUCUUACACUUGUGUUAUCAAUUUAGUAAUUAAAAUGACAACAAUAACUGUCAUUGAAACAUUUUGAUUUAUUGAAUUACAUAUUCUUGACUGCUGGCUGAGAACAAUUAUGUAUUCCAUCUGUAAUGCCCAGAAUGGAAAUGGUCAAUUGGUUAUCUCGUUUCUGAUCUCCAAAAUAAGCAUUUCUUUAAAUAUACAAAAACCUAGAAGGACUGAAUUAGACACCUAUGUAGGUGACAGUAAAUACACUUUAACCAGGUUCCUGUAGCUUAAUCUGCUUCUAUCUGGUUUAUCAUCUUGCAACUGAGCAGCAAUUUCUGGUGUGUAGCCUCAGGCAUCCGGCUGCUGAGGUCAUUAGGCUAGUGGCUAUACUGUCACUUGGUUUUGAGAAUCUUGAAAAUGUGAUUUGAGAAUGCAUUUAGACAGAGGAGUGAGUGCCAGGUCAGGAAGAUGUGCAGCAUUUCUUAGGCUGUUUCCCAGCAUGCUCAGAUCCCUGGAGAUGAUAACAAACAUUCCAUUUUGGAAAGGUUUUUCUGUGUCUCCUUCCUUCAUGCAUAGUAAAGGAUUUUGCAAAGCCCCAUAGAAAAUUCUUUAUCCCUGUGUUCCUCAAAUUGACUUGACCACAAAAAAAUUCUAUUUUCCUAGUAAUACCUAUCAAUAAGUCACAGAACAUUAGUUUUCCAUGAAAUAGAAGAGGAAAACAAGAGCAAAUUUUUCUGUUUUUCAUUUUUGUACCAAUGGAGGUGAGUUAUAUAAAUUCAUAAAUAAUUAUCACUAAAUAUAUGCCUUUUACAUUUCUAUCACGUAAUCAUCCAAUGAGGGGCCCCUAUUGAAUUAUGAGUUUGUUUGUUGCUGAUUGAACGCAGAAAUAGGCCACAGAUGAAUAGAACAUUUUUAUUUAGUGAUCUGCUUUUUAAUGAACUACAUCCUAGGACCAAUUAGAAAGAUUAAAGCUAACCUGAGAGUUUAGAAACAGUCCUAAGCAUGAAAAUUGGCAUCUGAGUUUAGGAAUGAUUAAAAAAAUUUAAUCCAACUCUAUUAAUUUCUCCUAACUGUGCAACAUUUUCAGAUAUGUGAACUGUUUCCAGAGGAAUGCUUCUAAAACUUCUGUGUUCUCGAAGAUGCCAACUGCUGACUGCUCUUGCUUGUAUUGUGAAUUAUGGAGAUUUAUUUAACAGACACUCAACUUUAAUUUGUGCAUAAAAAUUCUUCAGUGCCCCUCCCCUGUGUUAUAGCUUGCAGUUUUUUAGGCUCUCUAAUGCACUCACCUUGCUUCUUCCUUUUCUCCUCAUUUUUCUCUCUUCCCUCUCUGUGCUCCUUAAAGCCAUCCACUAGGCAGGCAAUUAGGGACUGAGCACAGAUGCAUCCUUUAAUUUAAUUUCACAUUCCAUCAUCUGAAACAUGACCGAGUGUGUGCUGCUUUUGGCCUGCAGAGUGCUGGGAAAUCAAUAUGUUAAUUUACCUUCAUCUUUUCAAAUCAUCUUUUAGAGAGCAAGCCCCUCCUGUGAAGAGACUCCUGCUGCAGAUGGGGCAGGGACUGUAAGAGACACUGACCCAAGUACCGGUAUCCUCAUGGUCCCUCAACCAUGUUAAUGAGUUGUGUUCUAAAGUGUAUUUGAAUUACUUGAAACUUUAAACAUUUUCUUUUCUCCUGCUGAAAUAUAUUCAUAGUUAUUAUGAUUCCAAGUGCCCCUUAAAACCCUCCACACCCCUAGUAUAUGUAAAAAUACACCUGAAACAGCUAAUACACAAGGUGGCAAUGAUACAAAUGUAGUUCUAGUUCAUCUGUUCUACUGGCGGGGUAUUUCCAUUAGUGAAUUCUAUGGUUGAAUUCUUUGUUUGCAUCCAGAUCAUAUUGUUGAUUCAUCCUUACCUUGUGGUAAAGUGAAACCUCCAAGGAUUUUCCUACAUCAAAUGAUCCAAGGUUAAGGCUAUACCUCCCCACCCUCUUUUACCUGUACAAUGAAAGUGUUUUACAUUAACAAAAGCAUAUCCCUGUGGCAUUCUGCCCUUGCCUGGUUUGUCUCAUUGUUCAUGCAAGUGGAGAGCUUUAGGAGUCUUCUUUUACCUGCUGUCCAGCACAUUCACUUGAACUCAGUUGUGUCACUUUCAUACUGAGUUAGUUUUAUUUCUGCCUUUAUGCAAAUCUUGAAUAGAAAUAUGAGGUGUGGCGGCUUUAAGAGCUUCAAUUUUCAGAGCAUUUUCACAAGCAAACAUUCAGUCAAGCCUCCUUCAAACCUUGGGAAGUGGACUGAGCCAGUUAAUGGGGUCUCCAUUUCUGCGGAUGGCAAACAGAAGCAGUGGGUCGCUCCUGUCUCACAAUGAAUACAUGACGGCUCUGAAUAGCACUCUGGAAGCAUUUGGCUUUGUCCUUUUUCUAUUACAUGACUAAUAGCUCACUGAAUUUAUUCUCAGAUAUACUGUUUUCAGUUUUUUUGAACUUUGAUAAAUAUUCCUUUGAUCCCGUCUUCUAGUACCAUUCAAGUUUCCCAUGACCACGCAGAGAUUAACCACAGAGGUUCUUGGAUCAUGCUUCAUCUUUUGUAUCUUCUCAUGGAAACUAUUUGUGUCUGAAGGCUUGAGUGCAGUUAAACUGCAGCACCAAGCUUUUUCCUGAGUAUCUUUUCACCUAUUAUGUUUUUACGGAUAGAGGAAAUGAAUGCAAGGGAGCUUGGGGCUUCUGUUUGCUCUUGCUAUUUUCUUAACAUUACAGCAAUUAAAUGCCUCCCCGAGCAAAAACAGUGAUUUGUUCCUUUCUAUGUUCUUACUGUGACUAGAACUAAUAUAAUUAACCUCAACUUUCCAAGGUCCCACUGACCUAAGGGUAAAGGAAGGUCUCAGUAACUAUGAAGAUGGCAUUUCUGUGCUCUGGCCCACUUCACCCAUUGAAUUCCCUUAAGAGAACAUCACUCUGACUGCUUUUGGAAGUUCUUUGUCUACUUAGUCUGGAAAAUUCUGGUUUCCUGGCUGCCAUGUUUGGGGAAGGACCUCCUGUCUUGUAGCUUUAUGAGUCUCUUCCCACUCCUAGUGCUCUGAGGCAUGGCUGCCAGUAUGGGCUCAGGCCUACUUUGGGUUUCCGGUGGGUUCUAAGAAUCAAACUCAAUAGACACAGCACUUUCCUUUCUGUUUGUGCUAUGCUUUGUCACUAGGGCUUAAGAGCUGGGCUGCUCUGUGCUUUCCAAAGCCUAUGGGCUCCAGGUCAGCAGUGUGUUCCUAUCACCAGUCCCCAGAGCUCCGUCACAAACUAAUGCAACAUCAGGCACCCCCUAACCUGGAGCCCUUAUCUUAUCUUUUAGACCAAGCCUUACAUAACACCAGGCUUUUCACUUGGCACAUGCUGUUCCGUUGGUUGUUUUCCACCCUUCUGUUAAAGACGUACCCCAUUAACGUCUCAGACUGCCCAGCUGUGACUGAAGAUGGACGCCAACAGGACUGAUGCUCUCAAUCUUAGACCCCAUCAAUAAAACAUUCUUUGUGAUGUUUUCAGCAAUUUUCUAAAGGAUCUGAUUUAUUCAGGGUUUUAUACCCCUCUACUGUCCUUUGGGGUCACAUUUCAGUAUUUAUUUCUUAAUUAUGUUCCAGUUCUUCCAUUUCUCAUAUAAUAUCUAAGCUCACCAAGGAGUCUCCUGCUUAGUCGCUCUCUCUACUGAGAGUCAGAUGACAGUGGAGUGCUCCCGCUCUACAUGUUAUAGGGUUAGGUUUACAUUCUGGCUUUGCCACCUAUGAGCUCAUGACCUUGGACAACUCACUCAAUCUUAUCAAGUCUCAGUUCCCUAAGCGCAGGGGUCUAUUAGAGAAUAAGUUAGAUAACCACAUAAAAUUUCUACUCCAUAUCUAGAAUACAAGUUUUCAAUAAGCCUUGGUUAUUUGUUUUUCAUCACUGUUAUUACCACAUUUUAGUUUUCUUCUUGACAUCUGUCCUUUUUAAUGAGUUUUUUUUUUAUAUGUUUAGGUGCUGUUUUAAUAAGUUGGGACACUUUUCUAAAACUUAUGGCACUUGUAGUGAGCCUCUAUGGAUUUAUUUAUGGCACUUGUAGUGAGCCUCUAUUCUGUAUUAGAUCUGGGAUUCUUGGCUAUAUGUGGCCCAGACCCUAAGGACUUUGUCUCUUUCUAGAGUCACUGAAAUAACUUUUCAUGUUUACUUGAGGCUUAGGAAAAUUAAUAUUUUUCCAAACUAACAGAAGGAGACUCUUUAAAAAGCCAAGUCACUUGUAUAACUAUGCAUAUUUGGAGUGAGCCUAGGUUCUUUGAGACUCCUUUGCACUGGGAUUGUCCAGAAGCAAAUUGCCUCCAAAUCUCUUUGGAACAAAAGGAAUCCCAAAUUUAAUUCAGCCUUAACAUAUACUUCAUAGAUCUGUAGCAACAGAAAACAUAUAGACCUUAAUUUAAGAUAAAUUCAAUGCUUCAUCAUUUGCUCAUACACAGUUGCUCCAUCUCUGUGUAUGUGCAAGAUCUUGCAGGCUCAUGGCCCAAGAUAUUCAUUUAAAUAUAGUUGAGACUUAAUGGUGCAGUGUGUUACCACAUUAUAUUUGAGUACGAGGUUGGAAAAAUCUAAUAAUGAGAAUAAAAGUAUCAUUAAAAGUGGAUUUCCUUUAAAUAAGCAUUUUCUGAAUUUAAGUAGGAAAUUAAGACUUCAAAAGAUGAAAUGGACUGUGGCAUUGAGUCUUUGGCAUGUCUCUGAAUAAUAAGCCACAACACAUAGGCCAACUAAAUAGGUUUUACAAAUAAAGUAAAUGGGGGUUGCUAGUGGGAUGAGGUGGGGUAUGGCUUGUUUGAUUAAUAAACAUAAAGGAGAGAAAAUCCAUCAAUCAUAGUAAAGUGAAAGGAGAUUCCUGAUCCAUUCAGCCUCCCCUUACAAAUUUCAUUGCACAUUGCCCUUUUUCAGUCCCCUGCUUUUCUCUGGCCAUUUUGUGAACCUCUUUCAUUGCCCUGCCUCAACUUCCCCAGUGGGUCAGCCUCAGCACUUUAGCUCCAGCCUCCUAUUUGCCAUUAUCUCUUUCAAAAAUAUAAGCUGUCUUCUCCAUCAUAUACAAGAUUUGUAUUCAUCUACUUUUUCUUGUUCUUAACAAGAGUAACUUUCACAGAAUAAUCUUGGGCAUGACCCAGCUAUAGAAAAUUAGUUUUGUAGUACUUUUGUUGAUGAACUUCAUAUGGUUCAUACUAUCCAUCCAGGCACUCCUGAAGUUUAGCUGUCCUGAACAGGAACUCUCAGAUUUUGAAGUAUGACAGAAAUAAAGGACUGGCUUGUCCUAUUGUUCCCUUGGUUAAUUGUUUGCUUAUUCUUUUAUUCCAUUCUUUAUUUAGCAUUUGCCAUGGCAAUAAUAAUAAUAAUAAUAAUAAUAAUAACCAUUUAUCUAACACUUGCUAUGUGCCAAGACACUGUGCCAAGUGCUUUUUAUGCAUUAGUUCAUUUCAAUAAUCUCAUGAGUUAAGCACUAUUAUUACCCACAUUUUACAGGUGAGGAAAUGGAGGUACAAUGCGAUUCAAUAAUUUCUCCCAAGGCCACCAGCUAAUGAGUAGCAUAUUUGGGAUGCAAUCUUGUAUUUAAUAGCUCUUAUACCCAUCCUUCAAUUACUAAAGUAGUUUUCAAAUUAUAAACAAAUAAAACAUUCUAUUAUUCGCUGCUCAUUUAUUAAAGCUGAGAGUGUAGGCAAGGUAGGAUAGGAGAGAAAACAUCUGCCUUUUCUAAUUCUUCGCUGUUAUUUUUUGUGAGUCCAGAUAUGGGAGUUGGUGUAGCCAGGAAAACAUAACAUAUAUUGGGGGGAAAAAAUGAUUGUUAAACAGUGAAUUUGCUGGGAAGGGAGAGAUUUUUUCCCCCUAUUUUCAGAAGGGUUGCAGCAAUAAGACAGGUAAUGAAGGGUGGUGUUCAGUACACUAGACUUUUCUCUGUGGCUGAGUUAAUUCUCAGUGUGUUCUGAAAUGCCAGUUGUGACCUGGACCCCUGACCCAGAAUAAUGCAGUGAAGAAGCCUCACGUCAGGGAACUUACUCCUUCCUCUUUCUCCGGUUAGAGUCUGGUGGCCUUUCCCUGCCUGCUUCAUUUUGGUUAGCAGGGGAGAACUGUUUUGUGUGCACACAGGAAGAGGAGAUAAAGCAUCAUUUCUUAGGGCAGAAUCACAGGGUGGCAGGGGUAUUGAUGUGAAGUUCAAGGGGCUUCAUCUAUAGUGAUUGUGACCUGAAACAUCUGGAGUAGAGCCUAAGAGUCUGCACUUUCAACAGGCGCACCAGGAGAUUCUGAUGACAGUGCUCUGAAAAAGGCCAAAGAAAAAGAACAUUUCCACUGUGGGAAAUACUCCAACUGCUGCAUAUAUUUGAUGGCGGCCAUCGGCCCUCAAAGUGAAGUCCCUGAACAGCAUCCACAUCAUCUGGGAACUUGUUAGAAAUGCCAAGCCAGAGCACUGAGUCAGAAACUCUGGGACAGGGCCCAACUGCCACUUCACAAGGGCUCCAGGUGAUUUUCACAGACCAAAGUGUCCUUGUAGAAUUCCAUAUCACUGGUUCUCAAAUGUGGCUCCAUACUGAAAUUCCCCACAGAGGUUUAAAAUCUGGGUCACAUACCCAGAGAUGCUGAUUGAGAGGAUCUGGGAUGUAGGCUCAUUAUAGUAUUUUUAAAAAGGAUUCCCAGCUACUCUAAGGUGUAGAAAAAUUUGAGAACCAUUGGCUAUAGUUCAGUUUACCAAAGUUUGGGGUCUCUGUUAUGUGAAAACUCUUGAAGGCAAGCAUUAUACCCCAGUCACUAAUAAUGAAAUGGCACUGUAUGAAGUAAAGAAUAAAUGUUAUGUAUAAACGGUAUCUAGAUGACAUGUUUAUGUUCCAUAAUCUACCUUUACAUUUUAACAUGAUCGUGGAAAAUGUAAAUAACUUUCUCCAAGCCACUGGAAAUACCAAAUGAAGUUGGAACAAGAACACACCCUCCCUACCUUCCUUCCCCUACUGGCCAGUCUCCUGGGUCAUUCAAGCUCCCACAUCAUUGGCUUCCUCAGUUCCCUCAG